rnacentral:rRNA from 1 species
UUGUCUCAAAGAUUAAGCCAUGCAUGUCUAAGUAUAAGCAAUUACAAAGCGAAACUGCGAAUGGCUCAUUAUAUAAGUUAUCGUUUAUUUGAUAGUACCUUACUACAUGGAUAACCGUGGUAAUCCUAGAGCUAAUACAUGCUGAAAAUCCCGACUUCGGAAGGGAUGUAUUUAUUAGAUACAAAACCAAUGCCCUUCGGGGCUCUCUUGGUGAUUCAUGAUAACUUCUCGAAUCGCACGGCCCCGCGCCGGCGAUGGUUCAUUCAAAUUUCUUCCCUAUCAACUUUCGAUGCUACGGUAUUGUCCUAGCAUGGUUGCAACGGGUGACGGAGGGUUAGGGCUCGACCCCGGAGAAGGAGCCUGAGAAACGGCUACUACAUCCAAGGAAGGCAGCAGGCGCGCAAAUUACCCAAUCCCGAUACGGGGAGGUAGUGACGAUAAAUACCGAUACAGGGCUCUUUUGGGUCCUGUAAUUGGAAUGAGUACAAUUCAAAUCCCUUAACGAGGAACAAUUGGAGGGCAAGUCUGGUAAUCG